GCUCCGGAAAAGACACAACCAGAAGAAUUUGAGUCUUCUGUGUUCACUGGAAUUCCAACAGCCAGAGUACCUGAUCACUUUUCAACAGCUAUUGUAUUCUGAAGUUUUCUCAGGUGAAAAAAAAUGUGUGAGAAGAGUGCACAGGCCAUCACAGAAUCUUACCAACCCAACUUACUUCUUCCUGUACCUCAGAAAUGAUACAAGGGCAUUUUUUUUUUUUACUUAAUUUGAGCUAGCUAGUUCAGACAACACACAGAAAUAGAGUCAAUCCUCUUUUACAAGCAUAAAAAACGAGCAUUGUUGGUGGCACUGGGAGACUGAACCAAGGCUUUGGCUGGACCCAAAGCAGUCGCCCCCUGGAUAAACAGCUGCUGAUGCAACUAAAAUAAGCGCCAGGGACCAAAAGGUGGAUAUGUUUGCUGGAAAACAGAGAUGGAAAAAAGCCCUUCAAGCGACACACGGAUGACUAAUGUAUUUCAGACUCAAGCAUCAGAGAGUAGCAAACGCAAUGUGCACUGAUGGAUUGUUAUCAUUAGAAGUGACAAAACUCCACGGUGGGGAGAAAUGCAGGACAAUGCAAUAUCAUCCUGGAGGCUACGGGGGACCUGCUAAUAUGCUCUAUGGCUGCAGAUGACUUCCUAGGUACACAUCAUUGCCUUCCUUAGGCAGGUCUCCAAGUUACCUUACAUUUCUCCAUUCUAGAAGACUAACCAAAUCCAUAUUUAUAAUCAAGUUACAAAUUCAACCAUCUGAAUCCUUACCUACCCUCCAAACCAAUGCCAACAAAGACCUCCUCCAGAAAAGCAAGGGACAUUUACUAUUAUACGGCUGGUACUGAAUAAAAAAUGUCUUUACAAAUUUCCUAAAGAAAAUAUUUAAAUAAAUAAAUU